CUGAUAAAUAAUCAUGGAUUUAUUGAAUCAGUAAUAACUUAAGACUGGUACAAUCAGUUUUGUUCGUAUUGACAGGAGACGCCAUCGAAUCCGACCGCGUGAAAAAUUAAUCACAAAUAAAAAAUAAACCCAGGCAGAAAGGAAAGAUCCUACAGAAAAUACUCGCCCUCCUCCCGCGCCAAUGUAUUUUCUUUUUUCUUUAGUUUUUCUUUUAUUAAUAAAACGACUUAAAAAAAUCUCAUCAAAAUGCAGCAAAUUCCUCGAGUUAUUUACACUUUGUUACAACGUGAACAUUUACAUCUCCAGAGGGAAAACAAAGUAUGGACAGGCGGGUGCGACGCGUUUCACCCACGUCACACGAUAUGGGGGGUUUAUAUUAUUCUGUAUCAUUAUUAUUGUUCCCGUCUCCUUUAUGUCAUUGUUGCAUAGAAUCCGGCGGAGAUCGCGUGAUUGACUCUUGUAAAAGGCGAUUGGAAGUAUCGAUUCCUGCUGUCGUCCAGUCCCGGCGUUUCUUUUAACAAGUCUAUAGAAUACGCCGACAUUCUGGCGCCAAAAUGGCGGAGACGUGGAAUAUAGAAGCUACGUGGUUUACGACGAGAUACAAAAAAAUACAAUAAAAUCCCCGAUAAUUAUACAUUCAGGCAGACCCGCUUCCUGAUGUCAACCAAAGACAAUACAGUGUAACCUAGAAUUUUUCGACGCGUUUCAGGCGACGAAUUGUGACUCUAUAUACAGAAUCCCCCCAAAAAAGCUAUAAAUAUAGAUAUAUAUUUAUUUGUGAAAAUCGCCAGUGAUGCGCAACAUCCAGCCGUAAUUCACAGUUGUGGAUUUCAGUGCCGAACUUCUCUUAAUCUUGCUGAUGCAUUUUGCAGACUUUUGGGCGCAGCCAUAAUUGCCGUGCGCGUUUUGCCUUUUCCGUUCCAUGCAGCGCCAUUGUGAAAUUGCGUUUCCGCUCUAACAUGGAGCAGGACACGUGAGGUAUAGAAGAACUGCCCCCUGCAGCCAGCACCUCUACUGUGUGUGUGUAUAUGUAAUGUGUAAACCUAAUGACCGAGGGGUUUCCCAGGUUGUAUCACCGGAGUAGAUCUAAUGACCGAGGGGUUUCCCAGGUUGUAUCACCGGGAUAGAUCUAAUGACCGAGGGGUUUCCCAGGUUGUAUCACCGGGAUAGAUCUAAUGACCGAGGGGUUUCCCAGGUUGUAGCAGGUUGUAUCACCGGGGUAGAUCUAAUGACCGAGGGGUUUCCCAGGUUGUAGAAGGUUGUAUCACAGGAGUAGAUCUAAUGACCAAGGGGUUUCCCAGGUUGUAGAAGGUUGUAUCACCGGGGUAGAUCUAAUGACCGAGGGGUUUCCCAGGUUGUAUCACAGGAGUAGAUCUAAUGACCAAGGGGUUUCCCAGGUUGUAGAAGGUUGUAUCACCGGGGUAGAUCUAAUGACCGAGGGGUUUCCCCGGUUGUAGCAGGUUGUAUCACAGGAGUAGAUCUAAUGACUGAGGGGUUUCCCAGGUUGUAUCACCGGGGUAGAUCUAAUGACCGAGGGGUUUCCCAGGUUGUAGCAGGUUGUAUCACAGGUGUAAAUCUAAUGACCGAGGGGUUUCCCAGGUUGUAUCACCGGGAUAGAUCUAAUGACCGAGGGGUUUCCCAGGUUGUAGCAGGUUGUAUCACCGGGGUAGAUCUAAUGA